rnacentral:rRNA from 1 species
CGCAAGCCUGACGGAGCCAGACCGCGUGGGGGAGGAAGGCCCUUGGGUUGUAAACCCCUUUUCUCAGGGAAGAAGCACUGACGGUACCUGAGGAAUAAGCCUCGGCUAACUCCGUGCCAGCAGCCGCGGUAAGACGGAGGAGGCAAGCGUUAUCCGGAAUCAUUGGGCGUAAAGCGUCCGCAGGCGGUUAUUUAAGUCUGCUGUUAAAGCCCACAGCUCAACUGUGGAUCGGCAGUGGAAACUGAAUAACUUGAGAGCGGUAGGGGUAGAGGGAAUUCCCGGUGUAGCGGUGAAAUGCGUAGAGAUUGGGAAGAACACCGGUGGCGAAAGCGCUCUACUGGGUCGCACCUGACCCUCAGGGACGAAAGCUAAGGUAGCG